rnacentral:rRNA from 1 species
UACGGAGGGUGCAAGCGUUAUCCGGAUUUACUGGGUUUAAAGGGUGCGUAGGUGGGCAGGUAAGUCAGUGGUGAAAUCUUCAAGCUUAACUUGGAAACUGCCAUUGAUACUAUUUGUCUUGAAUAUCCUGGAGGUAAGCGGAAUAUGUCAUGUAGCGGUGAAAUGCUUAGAUAUGACAUAGAACACCCAUUGCGAAGGCAGCUUACUACGGGAUUAUUGACACUGAGGCACGAAAGUGUGGGGAUCAAACAGG